rnacentral:rRNA from 1 species
UUGGCCUACGGGACGCAGCAGUGAGGAAUAUUGGUCAAUGGCCGGAAGGCUGAACCAGCCAAGUCGCGUGAGGGACGACUGCCCUAUGGGUUGUAAACCUCUUUUAUAAGGGAAGAAUAAAUGCUACGUGUAGCAUGAUGCCUGUACCUUAUGAAUAAGCAUCGGCUAACUCCGUGCCAGCAGCCGCGGUAAUACGGAGGAUGCGAGCGUUAUCCGGAUUUAUUGGGUUUAAAGGGUGCGUAGGCGGUUUUUUAAGGUAGUGUGUAAACGUCGGGGCUUCACCUUGGUU